UACGUAGGUGGCGAGCGUUGUCCGGAUUUACUGGGCGUAAAGCGCGCGCAGGCGGGCUGGUCAGUCCGGGGUGAAAUCUCACGGCUCAACCGUGAGCGGUCCCCGGAUACUGCCAGUCUUGAGGUGUCUAGAGGAGAGCGGAAUUCCCGGUGUAGUGGUGGAAUGCGUAGAUAUCGGGAAGAACACCAGUGGCGAAAGCGGCUCUCUGGGGACCACCUGACGCUGAGGCGCGAAAGCGUGGGGAGCGAACCGGAUUAGAAACCCUCGUAGUCC
rnacentral:rRNA from 1 species